rnacentral:lncRNA from 1 species
UUUUAGAUCUUUUCCUUCACCUCAGCUGACAUAAACAACGCUAUUUCAGAUAAACCCAUUUUAAUCGAAGAUAUCUUUGCAACAUUUUAUUCUCGGCGAAGCAUCAUUUCCUUAAAUAUUAUAAGCCUAAAAAUAAAGUAUUAUAUCGUCGAGUUAAAUAAAUCUUUCACGAAGCUUAUUAGCUGAGCAGUAUGACUUUAUUCGCCUGGAGAUCAGACAUCCGAAAUUCAAUUUUACCAAGUACCCGAAAAAACAACCAAAAUCACUCAUACAAACUUACAUUGCGGCCAUUUGCAGAUUGCUGGAUUUGACUUCUAAUUAAAUCUAAACAGCUAUGGAUAGUACUCAUGUUGAAUGAAAGCUAUUACUACUUUCUUAGUCAAAUCCACCUGACAGUUAAAUUACUCUGCUUAGGUCUCUUAGUUGAAAUUGAUUUUGAGUGAUACAAAAUGUGGGAUAAAGAGUACUAUAUGGGGGUAUAGCUAUAGUCUCUUCUUGACUUUAUUAACCUGGAGAAGCUUACAGAGAGUAAUUGCUGAUCAAAGUGGGAGGAAGAGGUACCAAAUGGGGGUAAUGAUAUUAUAUGUCACAGAAACAAGUAAAUAAAUAAACAUUAAUGGCUAAGAAACAUUUAAAAAGAAAUCACUAAUAAAGGAUUAAUGUUAAUUUGGCUACAAAACCGACGAAUUGUAACCCAUGUUGAUUGACAAACCUCUCUUCUUUACAAUGAGUACACAGGAGAGGAAAAUAUUAAACAAGAACGCUCUUUUUCUAUUUUAUCAAAAAAAAAAAAAAAAUUCAGUUCAAAUAGUUGAUUGAACGAAUGGAGAGUUUACAAGAGUGUUUUACUCAAUGUUUAGAUAAUUGAUACAAAUAUUCAAUCAUGGUAAAAAAGUUUCAUAGUUAAAAAAGGUUUCUGAAACAAUUCAAAAAUCCAUUGGGUUAAAAAAAUUAUAAUAAUUCAAUAUAUUUUAAGAGAAGAAAUUGCGUUGACUAAUUUUCGGAUGUAUUCAAAGAAAUCAUGAAAAAAAAAACACAAAGAAAUAGAAAAUGAGAGCACAAGAGAAUCAAAAUUCUUUUAAAGAACUCAUGUCCUUUAAAGAAACUCAUUACUUUGUUCUAAGCGAAACGGUCGUUAGGGUUCACCAUUGCUUUAUUCCGUGAACAAAAUUUCAAAACUAUUGUACACGGGGAAUCCACUGGUGUCUACAACAGGAUCAUUGCCAGGACGAACCACCAAACCGGUGUGCAACCCGACUUUUCUUGCAGCUUUCAACUCGUUGAUAUUGUCACUCAAGAAGAGCCAUUCUCUAGGAUUUGAGUUUCCCACAAUUUUCACAUAACUGCCACACUCAGUUUUAAGCCCUAUAGUAGUAUCGUAAUAUCCAGAGAAAUACUUUAGAAGGUUUCCAGCAUCUGAAUGCUCGAAAUACAAUUUCUGAGCUGGAACACUCCCACUGGAGUAAAUGUAAACACGCAUUCCCAAUUGCAAACUACGUUGAAUAGCAGGAACAACAUCGGGGAACAAGUGUGAAGUUAGUUCAUUACUUUCAUAACCUUUUUUCCAAAUACGACCUUGGACCAUUUUGAAGGAACGUUCUUUGCUUCCUUCAGCAUGCAACUUUCGUAAAUUUAUCAAGGCCUCUUCAGGCGUUUUUCCAAGUUCUCGCAAGUUUUCAUCACUUUCAUAAUUUUCAUUAACAUAACUUUCGUAUCUUGAAGCAGCGUAUGGAAACUAGCAUGGGUUAAACACGAUCUACAUUGUUCUCAAUAAAAAACUUCACUUACCAAUUUGUCUUUGACAAAUGAAAUGCUACCCACAGUCCCUUCAAUAUCCAAGAGCAAAUUUUUAACCAUUUUUUGUAAUAAAGAGAUGCCGUACAACUCACUUUUCUUUUAGGACACAAGUUUUAUGCAACUUUAAAGAAGUAAGAUGUGCAGUAAGUAGGAUUAGUACUUUGCGAAUUCAGCUAUGCAUCACGUAAAAUAAUUUAAGAUUACAAUUGGAAUUUUAUUGGAUUUUACUUUCUUAAACAUAUGGAAAAAGAAUUUCAACAGCUUGCAGCUUUUUAUUGAGAACAUGCAUUUGAAUAAUUAUCUUAUGCAUGCCUGUCUUUUAGAAUAGAAAAUACGGACUAGUUAUUUUUUAACCAUUUUUUAAAUUCAUUAAUUAUUCAUAGAUUAAUCGCGUACAAUAUAUGUUUCUACCAAGAUGUCUUUUUUUUGUGGUCAAGAUUGAUAAGUAGAGCUUAUUACGAAACGAAUAACAUUUUAAGUUAAAUAAAUCUAAGGGAUUUCAUACAGACAAAGACUUUCUGUGUACGUUAAAGGAGAAAGGUGUACUAGGAGGAUUAUCAGGAAGCUCUUUAGCCAUAUCAACAGCAUCAGCAGGUGAGCUCUUAUUCAUUACAAAAAGACCCUGCAAUGAAGCCAUACUUGUAUUUUUUGGACACACUAUAUCACUUAAAUCGUCAGCCAUCUCUGGGGAGUGACCGUAAAAGCGAGUAAACAUUUCGCGAACUUGUUCAGGUGUAGCAUUUCCAAGAUAUGCUUUAACGUCAACGCGGCCCGGACGAACGAGAGCUGGAUCAAGCUUUUCAGGAUGAUUAGUUGUCAUAAAUAUAAUCCUUUCGUCUGAUGAAGUGACACCGUCGAGUGCAUUUAACAACCCACUAAAUGUAACAUUGGCAUGAAACCCAACUUCCCCAGAUCGUUCCCUACCUUGAAAUGCAGAAUCAACAUCCUCCAGUAAAACUACUGCCUUGGGAGGUACAUUAGAAAGUAGAUGGUUGAGACGAUCGUCAGUUAAGCCUUUUUCAGCCAAGUUUAGAACGCAUAUGUCGUAGUCCAAUUCACCUGCAAGAGCAUAUAAAAAUGAGGUUUUUCCACUUCCAGGAGGUCCAUAAAGAAGAUAGCCUCUUCUAUAUGGAAUUCCUCUUGUAUCAUACCAUUGUGAAUUUCGUAAAAAGUCAUGAACGUCGUCUGUAAUCAUUUUUUUAACAUUGCUUUCAAGUACAACACUAGAAAGCAUCCUUUUUGAUCUAGGGU